rnacentral:tRNA from 1 species
GGGCCCGUAGCUUAGCCUGGUUGGAGCGCCGGUCUUAUAAGCCGGUGGUCGGGAGUUCAAAUCUCCCCGGGCCCA